rnacentral:rRNA from 1 species
GGGGGGGGGGGGGGGGGGGGGGGGGGGGGGGGGGGGGGGGGGGGGGGGGGGGGGCGUGGGCGAGUGGGAGGAGGAGCGAAGGGGGGGGUGACGGGGGGGGGAUGUUGCGGUGAGCGGGGGACAACAGUGGGAGACGAAUGCUAAUACCGCAUAACAACUUUAAGCAUCAGUGUUAAGUUUGAAAGAUGCGAUUUCAGCACUCAAAGAUGAUCGCGCGUUGUCUUAGCUGGUUGGUGAGGUAAGGUCUCACCAAGGCGAUGAGACAUAGCCGCCCUGAGAGGGUGAUCGGCCACAUUGGGACUGAGACACGGCCCACACUUCUACGGGAGGCAGCAGUAGGGAAUCUUCGGCAAGGGACGAAAGUCUGACCGAGCAACGCCGCGUGAGUGAAGAAGGUUUUCGGAUCGUAAAACUCUGUUGGUAGAGAAGAACGUUGGUGAGAGUGGAAAGCUCAUCAAGUGACGGUAACUACCCAGAAAGGGACGGCUAACUACGUG